ensembl:lncRNA
AGUGGGAAAUGGAGCUCGCCGGACCCCAAGGCCACCCUGUAAGCAGGGUAGUGCCGUUUCCCUGCCCCUCUUCCUCCCCCGGCCCCUCGGCAUCGUUGCCUGAUGGUGGCUUGUCAACGCGACGGCCCCGUACUCGGGGUGUGCGUCACGGCUUUUGGCCGCUGGCUUUACCUGAGAAGCCCCUUGGCACGUUGAGGUCUGUGGCCUCCGUGCAGCCUAGGGACAGGUCACAGGCUCUUGUCUGUUGCCCGUGGUUGUGGGUUUAUUCCCAGGUGUUGGCUGUGCUGCGUUGUCCUUCCCUUCUGGAAAGUCGUGCCUGUGUGUGCGUGUUCCCCUUCCUUUCCUUGUUUGUGUUUGUGGAGUGGUUGAGCGGCUGUGCUUUCCCUUUAGGCCUCCACAAAGAUGGCUGCAGCUUAGCUUUGACUUCCCGGGGGGGAAUGGAGGACUUUGGUGCAUGCCGCAAAAGGGGUGUUCCCUCUUAGUCCUGCGAGCGCAGCGAGUGUCCUGUCUUCCUACUAUUUUCCUUAGUGCAGAUCAGAGCCACACGGUAGUUCUGUGGCCAAGGCCUCCCUGUAGCCAGGGCUUGGGCCUGUCCUUGCGUGGCCGCCUGUCCUGCUGGCGGCGGUGACAGCCCCGUACUCGGGGUGUGUGUCCCAAGCUUCGGAGCCCUCUGUCCCUGAGCAGCCCGCCCGCCCUGUAAUCAGGUGUGGGGAGGCUGCAGCGUUGCAGCCGGCUGCUUUAGCCAUCCAGCUGGUGGGAGUGACCCCUCCCUGUCCCGUCAGAGGGUGCAGGUUGAGGUGCUGUUUGUGUGUGGGGUGACCUCCCCGCUCGGUGGGUCGAGGUAGCUCCCUGGGCUUCCAAAGACGAGACGUUGGUGAUGUUCUGCUGCUGCCGGGCGGGCCAGCCUGUAGCUCAGGCGUUGGCGGGAGCCUCGUGCUCCGCGGGGCUUCUUGAAGAGGGUGAGGUGCUGUUUGUGUGUGGGGUGACCUCCCCGCUCGGUGGGUCGAGGUAGCUCCCUGGGCUUCCAAAGACGAGACGUUGGUGAUGUUCUGCUGCUGCCGGGCGGGCCAGCCUGUAGCUCAGGCGUUGGCGGGAGCCUCGUGCUCCGCGGGGCUUCUUGAAGAGGGUGAGGUGUGGGGGUACCGUCCUGUAGGCAGGGCUGUGUGUGCCCCCCGUGUGUGCUUGGUGAGCUGUGUUCUGAGAGACCCCCUGUACUCAGGUGGGAAUGUGGCCCCGGCCUUUCAGAGGCGCGGGGCCGUGAGAUGCGGGGUGGGGCUUGCGCCCUCCCUGGAAUCGGGGCUGGGUUCCCGACUGCGGCCUUUGGCCGUGCCGCCCCGCUGCCUGGCUGCUGAGAGUUGCUCCUGCCGCUGGGGGGGAAACCGAGCUCUGUGGCUCCAGGGGUGUUGUCCACCCGCCUGUAAUCAGGGUCUGGGUGCGCGAGCGUUUGUGCUCUGCUGGCAGCCUGUGUGGGGUGACCGCCCCGCUAGCGGGGUGUGGGUCGAGGUGCCCCGGACUGGGAGAGAAGGAGCCUCCCUCGGCCGUAGGGAUGGGGGCUGCCCUGUAAGUCAGGGAGCAUCUGUGUCCCGGAGUCCCAGGCCCUUUGCGUUGGAGGCAGUGGCUGGGGGCCCCCUCUAAGCAGGGAAUCUGUCUCUUUGGCCGCUGCUUUUUGUGUGCCCAGCCCCAUUUGCCCAGCCUGCCCGCCUCUGUGAUCCCCCGCGGCACCGGCUGGAAGUCCGCCGUGCAUCUUUGAGGAGCUGCUGCAGAAGGAAGAAGAAGCGGUGUGGGGACCUCGGCUGCAAAAUCAAGAUGGGGUAUCUGUUGACUGUUUUUCUUGUAAUUCUUUGCCUUUUGGAGCCACAGUUUUGAACGGUUGUGUAAGACUUUAUCACUCUUUUUGUCAGCGUCGUCAGCUGUGAAUAAAGUUUUUUUUCCAUGUUGUUUUUCCUGUUAUA